CAUCAGUUUUGAUCGUUGGAUAAAGUUCGAGGGAAUGUGGCAUCUUCGGAUGUGUUAUAGCCUUCGUUCGUAUACAAGCGGUUGGGACUGAGGAACUCAGCACGCCGAAAGGCCGGGUUUUUAACCACGUACGUGCUUAGGAUGCUGGCAUAAUGGCUUUAAUCGA
rnacentral:rRNA from 1 species